rnacentral:rRNA from 1 species
UACGGGGGGUGCAAGCGUUAUUCGGAUUUAUUGGGCGUAAAGAGCGCGUAGGCGGUUUAUCAAGUCAGAUGUGAAAUCCCCGGGCUCAACCUGGGAACUGCAUUUGAGACUGCAAAGCUAGAGUGUGGCAGAGGGGGGUGGAAUUCCACGUGUAGCAGUGAAAUGCGUAGAGAUGUGGAGGAACACCGAUGGCGAAGGCAGCCCCCUGGGCCAAUACUGACGCUCAUGCACGAAAGCGUGGGGAGCAAACAGGAUUAGAUACCCUUGUAGU